rnacentral:lncRNA from 1 species
UUGAAUUAAACUUGUAUAGAAAGAAAAUUGAAAUACAAAUGGGAUUAUAAUGAUCACUUUCAAAAGUUGAAUUAAGCUUGUAGAGAAAGAAAAUUGAAAUUCAAAUGAGAUUAUAAUGAUCACUUUCAAAAGUUAAUAGCGUUAUUACAAAAGGAAGAAAAUGAAACAUUGAUAAGAAAUUGUGAAAACGGCAAUUCUUUGAUAUACUUGAUAUUUGAAUACAUGAUACUUACAUGAUGGGUGAUGAAAAGCUUUUUCUUCUUGGUUUCAACAUCAAUCAUGAUAGGGCAUACCUAUUAAAGCAAGAGAAAAGCUAUUAGCAGAAGUAGAAAGAAACAAGACUAAAGUAUAUGUAGAAAAAAUUGAGAUUGAAUUAAUUAAUGAAUAUAGACAUUUAUUUUGGUAAUGCUUUUACCUUAUUAUAAAUUUUCACUUUUCAAAAUCAACAAGAAAAAUAAACCAACUAUUGCCUGGAUAUGCGACUGGAAUUAAUAAAUAGUUGUAUGUUAUCCAGGGUCGAGCAAAUGUAGGUAAUUCUCCUUUUGUGUAUUGCUCUAAUGCCUGAAAAUUAUUCAUAGAAGCGGU